rnacentral:rRNA from 1 species
UACGUAGGGUGCGAGCGUUGUCCGGAUUUACUGGGUUUAAAGGGUGUGUAGGCGGACUUUUAAGUCCGUGGUGAAAUCUCCGGGCUCAACCCGGAAACUGCCAUGGAUACUAUUUGUCUUGAAUGUUGUUGAGGUGGGCGGAACGGGUCAUGUAGCGGUGAAAUGCAUAGAUAUGACCCGGAACACCGAUUGCGAAGGCAGCCCACUAAGCAACGAUUGACGCUGAGGCACGAAAGCGUGGGGAUCAAACAGG